rnacentral:rRNA from 1 species
GACGAACGCUGGCGGCGGGCUUAACACAUGCAAGUCGAACGGAAAGGCCCUGCUUUUGUGGGGUGCUCGAAUGGCGAACGGGUGAGUAACAAGGGAGUAACCUGCCCUUGACUGUGUGAUAACUGCAGGAAAGUGGGGCUAAUACCGGAGAGGAGCUCCUGCUGCAUGGGGGGGGUUGGAAAGUUUUGGCGGUUGGGGAUGGACUCGGGGCUUAUCAGCUUGUUGGGGGGGUAGUGGCUUACCAAGGCUUUGACGGGUAGCCGGCCUGAGAGGGUGACCGGCCACAUUGGGACUGAGGUACGGCCCAGACUCCUACGGGAGGCAGCAGUGGGGAAUAUUGCACAAUGGGCGGAAGCCUGAUGCAGCAACGCCGCGUGCGGGAUGACGGCCUUCGGGUUGUAAACCGCUUUCGCCUGUGACGAAGCGUGAGUGACGGUAAUGGGUAAAGAAGCACCGGCUAACUACGUG